AUGAAUCAGUGUAUGAUCCUCAACAAUGUCUGCCUAAAAAUGCCUAGCAACAGGCAACUUUUGUCUUGAGGAAUUUUUCUAGUUUCCAUUUAAAAUUCUUAAUUUGCAUUAUUAUAAUCUAUUAAUUAAAGCUGGUCAUUCUUCUAGAAUACCUAAUGUUAUCAGUUUCAUAAAUAAAGCCACAAUGAGUAAAAGGAUUUAUGGAUGCAGAAGAGGUAGAAGCCCUAAAUGCCAUGAGUGAUGGAGAGUCUGAUGGUGGUGAGACAGCGAUCCAGCCUCCGAGAAAAAUUAGACUGACUGAGUCUGUUCUUCAGGACAGGAUUGCUAUAGUACAGAGGGAUAUUCUCUCAAGUGUUACUCUUGUUCAUCUGCUUUGACGGGUUCCUGUAAAGCAACAGUGGAAACAUGUAAAGAUGGAUUUUCUGAAUGUGAAAGCAGUUUAUUUGAACAAUCAGCUGGUUCCACUAAGGUGUUCUUCACAACAAAAGGGUGUGCAAAUCAAUGUGAACCAGGGACCAAACAGUUAGCAAUUGGAGGGACAGUUUCAACCCGCUGCUGUGACACUGACCUUUGCAAUGCAGCAGAUGGAGUGUUUAAGGGAAGCUUCCUCCUGCUCUUCUCUCCUCUGCUCUUCUACUUCCUGUUUCAGUGAAUCCAGAUUCAAGACUUCAGAUUCUACAGUGAAGAUCAGCACAAAAACUGAAUAUGAGACACAACUGACUUAAUUUACUGAAUAAUGUUUGUUUGUUGCUCUUCUGUUCUUUGGUUUAAGGAACUGAAAGUAUGUAUUUUAUUAAAUGAAUAUUAAACAAAAUACUGCAUCAGCACUAACAGAUUAUGCAUAAAAUAAAAAUUAUUAUAGAAUGUAAUAAAGAAUUAAAGAAACUUUAAAAUGUAAUGUUUUAAAAAGAGUGAGAUAAACUGCUGUAAUAAAAUAUUUACUUACCUGU